rnacentral:lncRNA from 1 species
AACAAGUCAGUAUAGAUAAUAAAAGCAUGCUGAGCUUCCAGUAAACCAGCACAUAUUUAUUUUUCCUUUUUGUGAACCUUCGUUGUGAAAUGAUACACCCAGGUGGAGAUAAAGGCUCAGUGCCACGUAGCUCCAUGGCUCAGCUUGGCCUCUAGGGACCUCUGGGACAGAGGGAGCCCCAGCCUAAGCCAGGCGCCAUUGUCAGUUCAGUUUCGCUUUUGAAGGGGCAGGGGCAGGAACAAAUCACUUUCCCUUUCUUUCCAGUAAUGUAAGUUUACAUACGAUCAACAGAGAACUUGGAGCCUGUUAUUUUGUUCCUUAUGCAUGUGGACCUCAUCCUUGUGCUGAAGAAGACUAAGAGGUACUGAUAUACUCCAUAUUGCUGAGUCUUGCAGCAG